AAAAAGUCUUCUGAGUAAACCGAUUAAAAAAAUCAAAACUUUCAACAACGGAUCUCUUGGUUCUGGCAUCGAUGAAGAACGCAGCGAAAUGCGAUAAGUAAUGUGAAUUGCAGAAUUCAGUGAAUCAUCGAAUCUUUGAACGCACAUUGCGCCCGCUAGUAUUCUGGCGGGCAUGCCUGUCCGAGCGUCAUUUCAACCCUCAAGCCCCCGGGCUUGGUGUUGGGGAUCGGCGAGCCUCCGCGCCCGCCGUCCCCUAAAUCUAGUGGCGGUCUCGCUGUAACUUCCUCUGCGUAGUAGCACACCUCGCACUGGGAAACAGCGCGGCCACGCCGUUAAACCCCCAACUUCUGAACGUUUGACCUCGGAUCAAGUAGGAAUACCC
rnacentral:rRNA from 1 species